UCCUUGGUGGUCCUGUGGCUAAGACUCUUCACUUCCAAUGCAGGGGGCCUGGGUUCAAUCCCUAAUCAGGGAA
rfam:TPA: Bos taurus chromosome 21, whole genome shotgun sequence.